rnacentral:rRNA from 1 species
GACGAACGCUGGCGGCGUGCCUAAUACAUGCAAGUCGAACGCAUUUUCUUUCACCGUAGCUUGCUACACCGAAAGAAAAUGAGUGGCGAACGGGUGAGUAACACGUGGGUAACCUGCCCAUCAGCGGGGGAUAACACUUGGAAACAGGUGCUAAUACCGCAUAAUUCCAUUUACCGCAUGGUAGAUGGAUGAAAGGCGCUUUUGCGUCACUGAUGGAUGGACCCGCGGUGCAUUAGCUAGUUGGUGGGGUAACGGCCUACCAAGGCUGCGAUGCAUAGCCGACCUGAGAGGGUGAUCGGCCACACUGGGACUGAGACACGGCCCAGACUCCUACGGGAGGCAGCAGUAGGGAAUCUUCGGCAAUGGACGCAAGUCUGACCGAGCAACGCCGCGUGAGUGAAGAAGGUUUUCGGAUCGUAAAACUCUGUUGUUAGAGAAGAACAAGGAUGAGAGUGGAAAGUUCAUCCCUUGACGGUAUCUAACCAGAAAGCCACGGCUAACUACGCG